AACGAACGCUGGCGGCAGGCCUAACACAUGCAAGUCGAACGCUCCAGCAAUGGAGAGUGGCAGACGGGUGAGUAACGCGUGGGAACCUACCCUUUGGUUCGGAAUAGCUCAGGGAAACUUGAGGUAAUACCGGAUAAGCCCUUCGGGGGAAAGAUUUAUCGCCAAUGGAUGGGCCCGCGUCGGAUUAGCUAGUUGGUAGGUAAAGGCUCACCAAGGCUACGAUCUAUAGCUGGUCUGAGAGGAUGAUCAGCCACACUGGGACUGAGACACGGCCCAGAUUCCUACGGGAGGCAGCAGUGGGGAAUCUUGCGCAAUGGGCGAAAGCCUGACGCAGCCAUGCCGCGUGAAUGAUGAAGGUCUUAGGAUUGUAAAAUUCUUUUACCAGGGGCGAUAAUGACGGUACCUGGAGAAAAAGCCCCGGCUAACUGCGUGCCAGCCGCCGCGGUAAUAC
rnacentral:rRNA from 1 species